GGAAGGAUCAUUAACACGUGUUCCACGUCCUAUCACCGAGAACUGUUUUCCACCGCCCGCUGCGAGAAAAGAAUUGGCAACCGGUCUGAGGGAGCUGAUGGGAUCGUUAACGCGAUCGGCCUUCCUGGCACACUUAUGCGAGAGAGAAGCGAUUCUUCAGUAGCAUAGACAAUUGAAUUCUUUGCAGAGGCUUUUCUCCUGCCGCUAUGGUCUCCAUCACGAUCGCCGGCGGCAGGGGAGUUUUUUCCGAUAAACCAAUUUCACCCACUUUCUUAGUUGACUUUAUUUUAAAUCUGUGCGCGGCUCGUCCGCCACACGUUUGAUAUUAAUUGAACGUUAAACACACAACUCUUAGCCAAUGGAUAUCUUGGCUCUCGCAACGAUGAAGAACGCAGCGAAAUGCGAUACGUAAUGUGAAUUGCAGGACUCAGUGAAUCAUCAAAUCUUUGAACGCAAAUUGCGCUCUUGGGUAGCCCUAGGAGCACGCCUCUCUCAGUAUCGGUUCCCUUCCUCUCAGCAGCGUGCGCUCUCUGUCCGCAGAGAGCGUGCGCGAUGGCUGGAAAAUGAGAGUCUGCGCGCCCGUCGCGCAGUCUCUUUAAGUCCAUGGAGCCUCACACUAACAGCGACCAACUCUGCUGCCUUCGCGCAGCGGAUAGUCCGUCGGACGGUCGGGCAGCAGUGACGUGAAUACCGGCUGUAAUCGCCUCAAUUUUCUACGUCGUAUCUGCUGUCUCGAUGCAAACGUCUGCGCGGGUGAACGGCGCUGGAGUGUGUGGGGUGUGAGAAAACCAUCGGGCCUCGUCUGUGUGAAAGCACAGGCGGAGCCUCCCCUUUGAUCUGAGAUGAAGCGAGACAACCCCCUGAAUUUAAGCAUAUUAAUAAGGGGAGGAAAAGAAACUAACAAGGAUCCCUUCAGUAACGGCGAGUGAAGCAGGGAGAGCUCAAUUUGAAAAUCGAUUCCCCAGACGGGUCAUCGAGUUGUAGCCUAGAGACGUACUAUCAGCUGAAACCUGGGUAUAAGUUCUUUGGAAUGAGGCACGGUACAGGGUGAGAGUCCCGUAUACGACCCAAAGCUUUCAGCGUACGAUGUGCGUUCAUCGAGUCGAGUUGUUUGGGAUUGCAGCUCUAAACGGGUGGUAAGUUUCAUCUAAAGCUAAAUAAUGGCGAGAGACCGAUAGCGAACAAGUACCGUGAGGGAAAGAUGAAAAGAACUUUGAAAAGAGAGUUAAAAGUACUUGAAAUUGCUAAGAGGGAAGCGCUAGAAACCAGUGAUACGUGCGGUCAAUCGCCCCGGGCCCCUGUGGCUGCGCGGAGCAAUGGGCAACCUUGCUUCGUGCAGCGAAAGGGCGGUCGGGGGUUUCUGAUCGCGCGUGAGUCAAGAUCAAUUCGGGCUGUGGGAGAAGGCUGCGGGAAAGGUAGGAGAGAAAUCUCUGUUAUAUUCCCGUGGCUCUACCUCGGCCUGGAUUGAGGAAGGAAUGGUGCGCCGUUUGCGGCUUGGUCCCGCGCGUCUGUUGCCCCACUCGUUCGGAUAGCAAUGCUAUGCGGGCGGGGAAAGGCAGCACUGCGCGCGGUGCUCCUAUGUGCCAUCGCGAUCUUGUACGAAAUGGUUUCUAUCGACCCGUCUUGAAACACGGACCAAGGAGUCUAACAUCUAUGCGAGUAUUUGGGUGGCAAACCCUGAUGCGCAAUGAAAGUAAAGGCAGCUUCGGCUGCUGAGGUAGGAAUCCUGGCAACGGGAGGCACUAUCGACCGAUCAUCACUUGUGAAAGAUUUGAGUAAGAGCAUAUCUGUUGGGACCCGAAAGAUGGUGAUCUAUGCCUGAACAGGGUGAAGCCCAGCGAAAGUUGGGUGGAGGCUCGUAGCGAUACUGACGUGCAAAUCGUUCGUCUGAUUUGGGUAUAGGGGCGAAAGACUAAUCGAACCAUCUAGUAGCUGGUUCCCUC
rnacentral:misc_RNA from 1 species